GGAGCUACCAUGCAAGUCGAGCGGUAGCACAGAGAGCUUGCUCUCGGGUGACGAGCGGCGGACGGGUGAGUAAUGUCUGGGAAACUGCCUGAUGGAGGGGGAUAACUACUGGAAACGGUAGCUAAUACCGCAUAAUGUCGCAAGACCAAAGUGGGGGACCUUCGGGCCUCAUGCCAUCAGAUGUGCCCAGAUGGGAUUAGCUAGUAGGUGGGGUAACGGCUCACCUAGGCGACGAUCCCUAGCUGGUCUGAGAGGAUGACCAGCCACACUGGAACUGAGACACGGUCCAGACUCCUACGGGAGGCAGCAGUGGGGAAUAUUGCACAAUGGGCGCAAGCCUGAUGCAGCCAUGCCGCGUGUGUGAAGAAGGCCUUCGGGUUGUAAAGCACUUUCAGCGGGGAGGAAGGCGGUGAGGUUAAUAACCUUGUCGAUUGACGUUACCCGCAGAAGAAGCACCGGCUAACUCCGUGCCAGCAGCCGCGGUAAUACGGAGGGUGCAAGCGUUAAUCGGAAUUACUGGGCGUAAAGCGCACGCAGGCGGUCUGUCAAGUCGGAUGUGAAAUCCCCGGGCUCAACCUGGGAACUGCAUUCGAAACUGGCAGGCUAGAGUCUUGUAGAGGGGGGUAGAAUUCCAGGUGUAGCGGUGAAAUGCGUAGAGAUCUGGAGGAAUACCGGUGGCGAAGGCGGCCCCCUGGACAAAGACUGACGCUCAGGUGCGAAAGCGUGGGGAGCAAACAGGAUUAGAUACCCUGGUAGUCCACGCCGUAAACGAUGUCGAUUUGGAGGUUGUGCCCUUGAGGCGUGGCUUCCGGAGCUAACGCGUUAAAUCGACCGCCUGGGGAGUACGGCCGCAAGGUUAAAACUCAAAUGAAUUGACGGGGGCCCGCACAAGCGGUGGAGCAUGUGGUUUAAUUCGAUGCAACGCGAAGAACCUUACCUGGUCUUGACAUCCACAGAACUUUCCAGAGAUGGAUUGGUGCCUUCGGGAACUGUGAGACAGGUGCUGCAUGGCUGUCGUCAGCUCGUGUUGUGAAAUGUUGGGUUAAGUCCCGCAACGAGCGCAACCCUUAUCCUUUGUUGCCAGCGGUCCGGCCGGGAACUCAAAGGAGACUGCCAGUGAUAAACUGGAGGAAGGUGGGGAUGACGUCAAGUCAUCAUGGCCCUUACGACCAGGGCUACACACGUGCUACAAUGGCAUAUACAAAGAGAAGCGACCUCGCGAGAGCAAGCGGACCUCAUAAAGUAUGUCGUAGUCCGGAUUGGAGUCUGCAACUCGACUCCAUGAAGUCGGAAUCGCUAGUAAUCGUAGAUCAGAAUGCUACGGUGAAUACGUUCCCGGGCCUUGUACACACCGCCCGUCACACCAUGGGAGUGGGUUGCAAAAGAAGUAGGUAGCUUAACCUUCGGGAGGGCGCUACCACUUGUCGC
rnacentral:rRNA from 1 species